rfam:Triticum aestivum genome assembly, contig: Triticum_aestivum_CS42_TGACv1_scaffold_588418_7BL
CGUGUACUCCCUCCGUCCGAAAAUACUUGUCAUUGAAAUGGAUGUAUCAAGAUGUAUUUCAGUUCUAGACACAUCCAUUUUGAUGACAAGUAAUUCCAGACGGAGGGAGUACUUG